rnacentral:rRNA from 1 species
AUUUGAACGCUGGCGGCAUGCCUUACACAUGCAAGUCGAACGGCAGCACGGGAGCAAUCCUGGUGGCGAGUGGCGAACGGGUGAGUAAUACAUCGGAACGUGCCCAAUCGUGGGGGAUAACGCAGCGAAAGCUGUGCUAAUACCGCAUACGAUCUACGGAUGAAAGCAGGGGAUCGCAAGACCUUGCGCGAAUGGAGCGGCCGAUGGCAGAUUAGGUAGUUGGUGAGGUAAAGGCUCACCAAGCCGUCGAUCUGUAGCUGGUCUGAGAGGACGACCAGCCCACAC